rnacentral:rRNA from 1 species
UACGUAGGGGCCUAGCGUUGUCCGGAUUUAUUGGGCGUAAAGAGCUCGUAGGCGGUCUGUUGCGUCCGCUGUGAAAACCCGGGGCUUAACCCCUGGCUUGCAGUGGAUACGGACAGACUAGAGGUAGGUAGGGGAGAAUGGAAUUCCCGGUGUAGCGGUGAAAUGCGCAGAUAUCGGGAGGAACACCGGUGGCGAAGGCGGUUCUCUGGGCCUUACCUGACGCUGAGGAGCGAAAGCGUGGGGAGCGAACAGG